rnacentral:lncRNA from 1 species
UUAUGUUCGAUGUGAUCUAAAUAUUUUUCACUCAAAUGUAAUAUUAUUUUUGGCAUUUUUGUCAUUUUCCUCAUGUUACCAAUUCACAAUUGGCCAAUGCAUCAUCAUACAUGGAAAACACUGACUACUACCAUUUUUCUGUCUUAAGAAAAGCCAAAUUUUAUGGGAGUUUUAGCUGCUGGGUUUCUUGAUUUAUAAAUGAGGGAUGAGUGAAAAUUGGAAUGAAUAAAUAAAAAAAAAGUUAAAAGAAAGAAAAAGAAAUGUGAAUGCAUAAAUUCAAUUAUUAUUAUUAUUAAUAUUAAUAUUAUAGAAAAUGUGGAAUGUUUUAGGAGGCCCCAUAGAAAUGUCAUGCUUGGCUUAGGCCACUCCUCCAAUUUCUUUUCUUCAUGCUUUAGCAACCAAUUUUACUUGACAUUCACUCCAAAUUUAAGAAUAAUAAUAAUAAUAAUAAUAUCUCUAACCCACUUUCCUUACCCUUUAAUAAAAACAAAACAAAGAAAAAGAAAAAGAAAAAGAAAUUCAUCUACCCACUUUCAUUUUUCUAUUUAUUAUUUUCUCCACCAGAUUCCAACUAAAACCUCAUAUAUUUAUAUUUUAACAUUUAUUAAUUAAUUAACCCAUUUGUAUACAUUAU